AAACUUCCUCCCCCUUCGGGUUUUGUUACUAUCGUUGGGGGGUUUUGGCCUAAUGGGAUAGCGAUUGGCAAUUCGUUUCCCAAUGUCCUAAAUAGACGUAGACCCGCCUCCAGAUGCGACAGCACCGAGGCCAUCAACCGUGGAGUUAUGGGAUAUAAUAGGCUUGCAGUAAAAUGCUCACCUCUCUCCACACGCCGAUGGCACGACAGUUGCAGUUGCGGGCGUAAAUUGGAGCCCUUUUCAGGACCCUUGUGGCCUAGCAUCCACCAUACAUA
rnacentral:misc_RNA from 1 species